rnacentral:rRNA from 1 species
CAGUAGCCGCGGUAAUACGAAGGGGGCUAGCGUUGUUCGGAUUUACUGGGCGUAAAGGGUGCGUAGGCGGAUUGUUAAGUCAGGGGUGAAAUCCCGAGGCUCAACCUCGGAACUGCCUUUGAUACUGGCGAUCUUGAGUCCGGGAGAGGUGAGUGGAACUGCGAGUGUAGAGGUGAAAUUCGUAGAUAUUCGCAAGAACACCGGUGGCGAAGGCGGCUCACUGGCCCGGUACUGACGCUGAGGCACGAAAGCGUGGGGAGCAAACAGGAUUAGAUACCCCAGUAGUCCCUGUCUCUUAUAU